UGGGGAAUAUUGGGCAAUGGGCGCAAGCCUGACCCAGCAACGCCGCGUGAAGGAAGAAGGCUUUCGGGUUGUAAACUUCUUUUGUCGGGGACGAAACAAAUGACGGUACUCGACGAAUAAGCCACGGCUAACUACGUGCCAGCAGCCGCGGUAAUACGUAGGUGGCAAGCGUUAUCCGGAUUUACUGGGUGUAAAGGGCGUGUAGGCGGGAUUGCAAGUCAGAUGUGAAAACUGGGGGCUCAACCUCCAGCCUGCAUUUGAAACUGUAGUUCUUGAGUGCUGGAGAGGCAAUCGGAAUUCCGUGUGUAGCGGUGAAAUGCGUAGAUAUACGGAGGAACACCAGUGGCGAAGGCGGAUUGCUGGACAGUAACUGACGCUGAGGCGCGAAAGCGUGGGGAGCAAACAGGAUUAG
rnacentral:rRNA from 1 species